rnacentral:rRNA from 1 species
AGAGUUUGAUCCUGGCUCAGGAUGAACGCUGGCGGCGUGCCUAAUACAUGCAAGUCGAACGCACUGUGGUUCAACUGAUUUGAAGAGCUUGCUCUGAUAUGACGAUGAACAUUGCAGUGAGUGGCGAACGGGUGAGUAACACGUGGGAAACCUACCUCUUAGCGGGGGAUAACAUCUGGAAACAGAUGCUAAUACCGCAUAACACUAGCAACCGCAUGGUUGCUACUUGAAAGAUGGUUCUGCUAUCACUAAGAGAUGGUCCCGCGGCGCAUUAGUUAGUUGGUGAGGUAAUGGCUCACCAAGACGAUGAUGCGUAGCCGAGUUGAGAGACUGAUCGGCCACAAUGGGACUGAGACACGGCCCAUACUCCUACGGGAGGCAGCAGUAGGGAAUCUUCCACAAUGGACGAAAGUCUGAUGGAGCAACGCCGCGUGUGUGAUGAAGGGUUUCGGCUCGUAAAACACUGUUGUAAGAGAAGAAUAGCAUCAAGAGUAACUGCUUGGUGUGUGACGGUAUCUUACCAGAAAGGAACGGCUAAAUACGUGCCAGCAGCCGCGGUAAUACGUAUGUUCCAAGCGUUAUCCGGAUUUAUUGGGCGUAAAGCGAGCGCAGACGGUUUUUUAAGUCCGAAGUGAAAGCCCACAGCUUAACUGUGGAAGUGCUUUGGAAACUGGAUGACUUGAGUGCAGUAGAGGAGAGUGGAAUUCCAUGUGUAGCGGUGAAAUGCGUAGAUAUAUGGGAGGAACACCAGUGGCGAAGCGGCUCUCUGGACUGUAACUGACGUGAGGCUCGAAAGUGUGGGUAGCAAACAGGAU